UGCAAAACCAUGACUAGAUUUCCUAGAUCCAAUGUUAAGUGAGAAAAGCAUUGACCGAAUGAUCCGUAACCAUUUGUUUGAACACACACACACACACACACACACACACACACACACACACGUGCCCACUACAAUGGCACAUAUUCCUACAGGUUCUGUGUGUCGAUGCAUAGAAAAAUAUCCAGAAGGCUAUAUGCCAAAGUAAUAACAGUGAUGAUUAACCCUGCGGAGGAGGCUGGAAUGUUGUGGUUAUCCAGGAAGAGAAUACUUAGCUGUUUAAAUAAUAUUUGACGUUUUUGCAACGAAAAGGUACAUUUGUAUAUUCCAUACACGAUUAAAACUUAGUAAAACAAUAUAAGAAAAGACACGGUGGGCUGCCUGGGGAACCAGUGAACUCCCUGUCCCUGGAAGUAUGAAAGCAUCCACACUGGGGUGGAGGGAUUCAAAAAAACGUGAAGAAAACAAGGGUAGGUGGGUUAGCUGGCCCUUCGGAACCUCAGAGCCUUAUCAGGGCAGUAGGAGCAAAGCCCUUAUUCUUCCUACACCAAGAGUGGCUUUAAGGAAGCACAGAGCAUCGGAUGCUAGAGGAGGGAGAGGUCGUGGACCCUCACUGUGACUUGGGCAGAGACGCACAGGCCAGUCUCUCCACCCCUCUUCCCCCCAAGGGACUCCUAGCUCUAGGCUCUCCGUCCCAGCAGCCCCCAGCCACUGGCCAGCAUGCCCGGUGUUAGCCUCAGACUCCCAGCGUAGGGGCUGUGUCUCUGGGAGGACCUCACGCUGGGGACAAGAAUUCAGGACAGAAGGAGGAGAAGAGAUGCUCAUAAAGCUGACCGCCCCUGUGACACCGAGCCCAAGCCAUGGCCAUGGCCGCGGCCGCAUGGUGAGCCCUAAUCCACAACAGGCUGAGCCCCAGCCCCAGCCAGCCUCUGACCCCUGACAAUAUAAAAAGCAAAGGUCAGUGAAGCUCUUACCUCACCUGGCAAGACAGCAAUGAGAUCGAGACAAGAGCCAAGAGACAUGGGUCUGAGUCCCAGCACCUGCCCUUGACUUCUCCUAAGAGACCCUGACAAAGUCACUGAGCCCCAUGGCACCUCAACCCUCUCCCCUGCACAAUGGGCGGAGGGUGGCUAACUCCCAAGCCGGCCGCGUAGCUGAAACGAGACAUCGUCCACAUAGUCUCUUUGCGGACUCCCACAAAACGUAGGGCCCCAUCCAGGCCACGGAUACAGGGCACUGAGGAACGGAGGUGGCCACGACGGAGCUCCAAAAGCAGCUAGACUUGCUGCAAAUCUGAAGCCCAGAGGCAGCCAGAAAGGGGCCCGUUUGUGGCCCCAGGCAGGGACCAGGAAGGAACACACAGAAGGAUUCUCCAGGCAGACAGAGACAAGGACGCGCGAGGAGACAGGAGCCAGCCUUCUCCCUGGACCUGUGGCCACACGCAGGCCCGGGCACACCACGGGCUGUUCCCAGCAGCCCCCAGACAGGGCGGGCUGGCUCCUCUCCUCCCCAGGCUGAGACCACCGCAGCGACACUCACCUGGCUAGCCCCGGAUGGGACACCCACCGUCCGUCAUCGCCUCAACCAAGAGUUCACUCCUCAAGCCACACCCGCAGGCCUCAGCCCUGACCCAGCAGAGGGUGGGUGCGGGAAGCCACUUCAGGCGGCUGUCCACUGUUCACCUCCUGUUCGGACCCCACGCCAUCGCGCCCAGUGCCUGGUCAACCCCCCACCUCAGCCUCAGACCUCGGCCUUCCCUCCUCCUGCCCACAUUCCCUGGCAUGGCUCUGGACUCCUUGGGGGCGGCCGGGACACCCCCUUUGACAGUUCAUAGCACGGGUAGCAUCAGGCAUCGGGGACACGAAGGCUCCACCAUGGCCAGCCAACCACAACAGGUGCCAACCCACUGACCAGAACAGCCUGGGAAGGCCUGCUGCUCACACCUGAGGAUUGAUUGCCUGCCCGUCCAGCCAGGCAAGGGACCCAGGGGCCACCAGGCACCAGCAGAAUCAUGGGGCUGGCUGCCUCAACUGGGACAAGGAUAGGCCGGCUCACCAACAACUUACCCCACUGGGCACCAAGAAACUGCCUUCCUGGAGGCUGAAGACCAAAAGGAGACACCACUUGGAUGGCCCCUCUGGUCGUUUAAAGCACCUCCUAAGCUGUGACUUUAUCUCCCACCUCAGGACCUCCGCCUCCAGAAUAGUCUUCAAGUCCUGACUCAGCCUGGCAUUCAAGGCCCUCCCGGUCGGGCUCCCAGAACUAUUUCCUCUACCUUUUCGCAAACACCCAAGACCACGUCCCUGAACCACCUGACCCUCAGGUCAUCUGCCUUUGCACAUACUGUUCCCAGGGCCUGAACUUUCCUGCCUUCCUCCUCCACCUGGCAAACUUCUACUCUCCCUUCGAGGUCCAGCUUUAUGUUGCUUCUUCCAGGAAGCCUAACGGGCUCUCCCUCUCCCACCCCUCC